rnacentral:rRNA from 1 species
ACUUAAGAAAAUAAGUGCAAGCGGUGGAUGCCUUGGCAUUCAGAGGCGAUGAAGGACGUGAUAAUCUGCGAUAAGCUUCGGUUAGCUGGUAAAUGAGCUAUGACCCGGAGAUUUCCGAAUGGGGGAACCCACCUGACACAAGUUGGGUACUCACUCGAUAUAGAGUGUAGAGCGAACGAGGGGAACUGAAACAUCUAAGUACCCUUAGGAAGAGAAAUCAAUUGAGAUUCCCGUAGUAGUGGCGAGCGAAGUGGGAAGAGCCUGGUAUGAUUUAGCUGUAAUUAUAGUAGAACAAGUUGGGAAGCUUGACGAUAGAGGGUGAUAGUCCCGUAUACGAAAUAAUCACAGUGGAACUAAGCAUACGAACAAGUAGGACGGGGCACGUGGAACCUUGUCUGAAUAUGGGGGGACCAUCCUCCAAGGCUAAAUAUUCCUGAAUGACCGAUAGUGAACUAGUACCGUGAGGGAAAGGUGAAAAGAACCCUUAUAAAGGGAGUGAAAUAGAAUCUGAAACCGCUUGCAUACAAGCAGUAGGAGCAUGAUUUAGUCAUGUGACUGCGUACCUUUUGUAUAAUGGGUCAGCGAGUUACUUUUAGUGGCGAGGAUAACUGAAUAAGGGAUCCGUAGCGAAAGCGAGUUUUAAUAGGGCGACUAGUCGCUAGGAGUAGACCCGAAACCGGCGCGAUCUAUCCAUGGCCAGGUUGAAGAUCUGGUUCUCCCCGAAAACUAUUUAGGUAGUGCCUCGUGUAUAACUCAUUGGGGUAAAGCACUGUUUCGACAAUGGGGGUUUUACGACCUUACUGACUCGAUGCAAACUCAGAAUACGAUGAAGUUCGAUCACGGGAGACACACUGCGGGUGCUAAGGUCCGCAGUGGAAAGGGAAACAGCCCAGACCGCCAACUAAGGUCCCAAAGUCAUAGCUAAGUGGGAAACGAAGUGGGAAGGCCCAGACAGCCAGGAGGUUGGCUUAGAAGCAGCCACCCUUUAAAGAAAGCGUAAUAGCUCACUGGUCGAGUCGGCCUGCACGUAAGAUUUAACGGGGCUAAGCUAUGCACUGAAGUUGCGGAAUAUAUUUAGUAUAUUGGUAGGGGAGCGUUCUGUAAGCCGAUGAAGGUGAAUUGAGAAGUUUGCUGGAGGUAUCAGAAGUGCGAAUGCUGACAUGAGUAACGUAAAAUAAGUGAGAUUCUUAUUGGCCGAAAACCCAAGGGUUCCUACGCAAUGUUAAUCAACGUAGGGUAAGCCGGCCCCUAAGGCGUAGCUGAAGAGUGAAGUCGAUGGGAAACAGGUUAAUAUUCCUGUGCCGCUUAUAUGAACGAAGGAGGGACGGAGAAGGUUAGGUAGGCCUGGCGAAUGGUUGUCCAGGUGAAAGUAUGUAGGUAGGAAUGCUAGGCAAAUCCGGUGUUCUGUUGAUCUGAGAUACGAGACGAAGUCAAACUUGUUUGACGAAGCUAUUGAUACCAUGCUUCCAGGAAAAGCUUCUAAGUAUAUUGUAUAAGUGACCGUACUGUAAACCGACACUGGUGGGUAGGUAGAGAAUACUAAGGCUAUGAGAUAACUCUGGUGAAGGAACUAGGCAAAAUGACACCGUAACUUUGGAAGAAGGUGUGCCCUUGAUGGUGAUGAGACUUGCUCUUUGAGCUGUUGGGGGUUGCAGAUACCAGGUGGCUGCGACUGUUUAUCAAAAACACAGCACUCUGCGAAAUCGUAAGAUGAAGUAUAGGGUGUGACGCCUGCCCGGUGCUGGAAGGUUAAUUGAAGGGGUUAGCGCAAGCGAAGCUCUGGAUCGAAGCCCCAGUAAACGGCGGCCGUAACUAUAACGGUCCUAAGGUAGCGAAAUUCCUUGUCGGGUAAGUUCCGACCUGCACGAAUGGCGUAACGAUGGCCACACUGUCUCCACCAGAGACUCAGUGAAAUUGAAAUCGCUGUGAAGAUGCAGUGUACCCGCGGUUAGACGGAAAGACCCCGUGAACCUUUACUAUAGCUUUGCACUGGACUUUGAAUAUUUAUGUGUAGGAUAGGUGGGAGACCAUGAAGCAGCUACGCCAGUAGUUGUGGAGUCGUCCUUGAAAUACCACCCUUGAAUAUUUGAAGUUCUAACUCAGGAGAGAUUCGAGGACAGUGUAUGGUGGGUAGUUUGACUGGGGCGGUCUCCUCCUAAAGAGUAACGGAGGAGUACGAAGGUGCACUCGGUACGGUCGGAAAUCGUGCCAAGAGUAUAAAGGCAAAAGUGCGCUUGACUGCGAGAGUGACGGCUCGAGCAGGUACGAAAGUAGGUCUUAGUGAUCCGGUGGUCCCGAAUGGAAGGGUCAUCGCUCAACGGAUAAAAGGUACUCCGGGGAUAACAGGCUGAUUCCUCCCAAGAGUUCAUAUCGACGGAGGAGUUUGGCACCUCGAUGUCGGCUCAUCACAUCCUGGGGCUGAAGCAGGUCCCAAGGGUAUGGCUGUUCGCCAUUUAAAGUGGUACGCGAGCUGGGUUCAGAACGUCGUGAGACAGUUCGGUCCCUAUCUGCCGUGGGCGUUAGAGAUUUGAGAAGAGUUGCUCCUAGUACGAGAGGACCGGAGUGAACGAACCACUGGUGUUCCGGUUGUUUCGCCAGAAGCAUUGCCGGGUAGCUACGUUUGGACGGGAUAAACGCUGAAAGCAUCUAAGCGUGAAGCCUCCUUCAAGAUUAGAUCUCUCUGAUGAAAAUCAGUAAGGAACGUUGGAGACUACGACGUUGAUAGGCUGGGUGUGGAAGUACAGCAAUGUAUGAAGCUUACCAGUACUAAUGAUCCGAGAGACUUAAGUCU